rnacentral:rRNA from 1 species
GUUCCAGCCGCCGCGGUAAUACGAAGGGGGCUAGCGUUGUUCGGAAUUACUGGGCGUAAAGCGCGCGCAGGCGGUCCUUCAAGUCAGAGGUGAAAGCCCAGAGCUCAACUCUGGAACGGCCUUUGAAACUAGAGGACUAGGGUACGGGAGAGGUGAGUGGAAUUCCGAGUGUAGAGGUGAAAUUCGUAGAUAUUCGGAAGAACACCAGUGGCGAAGGCGGCUCACUGGCCCGUUACCGACGCUCAGGCGCGACAGCGUGGGGAGCAAACAGGAUUAGAUACCCGCGUAGUCC